CGUGGGUAACCUGCCUGUAAGACUGGGAUAACUCCCGGGAAACCGGAGCUAAUACCGGAUAGUUCCUUGAACCGCAUGGUUCAAGGAUGAAAGACGGUUUCGGCUGUCACUUACAGAUGGACCCGCGGCGCAUUAGCUAGUUGGUGGGGUAAUGGCUCACCAAGGCGACGAUGCGUAGCCGACCUGAGAGGGUGAUCGGCCACACUGGGACUGAGACACGGCCCAGACUCCUACGGGAGGCAGCAGUAGGGAAUCUUCCGCAAUGGACGAAAGUCUGACGGAGCAACGCCGCGUGAGUGAUGAAGGUUUUCGGAUCGUAAAGCUCUGUUGUUAGGGAAGAACAAGUGCGAGAGUAACUGCUCGCACCUUGACGGUACCUAACCAGAAAGCCACGGCUAACUACGUGCCAGCAGCCGCGGUAAUACGUAGGUGGCAAGCGUUGUCCGGAAUUAUUGGGCGUAAAGGGCUCGCAGGCGGUUUCUUAAGUCUGAUGUGAAAGCCCCCGGCUCAACCGGGGAGGGUCAUUGGAAACUGGGAAACUUGAGUGCAGAAGAGGAGAGUGGAAUUCCACGUGUAGCGGUGAAAUGCGUAGAGAUGUGGAGGAACACCAGUGGCGAAGGCGACUCUCUGGUCUGUAACUGACGCUGAGGAGCGAAAGCGUGGGGAGCGAACAGGAUWAGAUACSCUGGUAGUCCACGCCGUAAACGAUGWGUGCUAAGUGUUAGGGGGUUUCCGCCCCUUAGUGCUGCAGCUAACGCAUUAAGCACUCCGCCUGGGGAGUACGGUCGCAAGACUGAAACUCAAAGGAAUUGACGGGGGCCCGCACAAGC
rnacentral:rRNA from 1 species